ACUAAAUAGUUCUGUAACAAAACAAUUCGCCAGAGAACUACUAGCAACAGCUUAAAACUCAAAGGACUUGGCGGUGCUUUAUAUCCCUCUAGAGGAGCCUGUUCUAUAAUCGAUAAACCCCGAUAAACCUCACCAUCCCUUGCUAAUACAGUCUAUAUACCGCCACUUCAGCAAACAGAAU
rnacentral:rRNA from 1 species